rnacentral:rRNA from 1 species
GACGAACGCUGGCGGCGUGCUUAACACAUGCAAGUCGAGCGGUAAGGCCCUUUCGGGGGUACACGAGCGGCGAACGGGUGAGUAACACGUGGGUGACCUGCCCUCAGCUCUGGGAUAAGCCUGGGAAACCGGGUCUAAUACUGGAUAUGACUCCAUGACGCAUGUUGUGGGGUGGAAAGCCUUGUGCGGCUGAGGAUGGGCCCGCGGCCUAUCAGCUUGUUGGUAGGGAACGGCCUACCAAGGCGACGAUCCGUAACUGGUCUGAGAGGACGACCAGUCACACCGGAACUGAGACACGGUCCGGACUCCUACGGGAGGCAGCAGUGGGGAAUAUUGGACAAUGGGCGAAAGCCUGAUCCAGCGACGCCGCGUGGGUGAAGAAGGCCUGCGGGUUGU